rnacentral:rRNA from 1 species
AAAGCCUACGGGGGGCAGCAGUAGGGAAUCUUCCACAAUGGGCGAAAGCCUGAUGGAGCAACGCCGCGUGGGUGAAGAAGGUCUUCGGAUCGUAAAACCCUGUUGUUAGAGAAGAAAGUGCGUGAGAGUAACUGUUCACGUUUCGACGGUAUCUAACCAGAAAGCCACGGCUAACUCCGUGCCAGCAGCCGCGGUAAUACGAAGGUGGCAAGCGUUAUCCGGAUUUAUUGGGCGUAAAGGGAACGCAGUCGGUCUUUUAAGUCUUUAUUGAAAGCCUUCGGCCU